GUGAAUUGCAGAAUUCAGUGAAUCAUCGAAUCUUUGAACGCAUCUUGCACUCUCUGGUAUUCCGGAGAGUAUGUCUGUUUGAGUGUC
rnacentral:rRNA from 1 species